GCGCCUUUAGUGUAAUUGGUAACACAGAAGUCUCCAAAACUUCUAUUCUAGGUUCGAGUCCUAGAGGGCGUGCCA
rnacentral:tRNA from 2 species